rnacentral:rRNA from 1 species
GACGAACGCUGGCGGCGUGCCUAAUACAUGCAAGUCGAGCGGACGAAUCGAAAGCUUGCUUUUGUUUCGUUAGCGGCGGACGGGUGAGUAACACGUGGGCAACCUGCCCUGUAGACGGGGAUAACACCGAGAAAUCGGAGCUAAUACCGGAUAACACGAAAUGUCGCAUGACGUUUCGUUGAAAGACGGCGCAAGCUGUCGCUACAGGAUGGGCCCGCGGCGCAUUAGCUAGUUGGUGAGGUAACGGCUCACCAAGGCGACGAUGCGUAGCCGACCUGAGAGGGUGAUCGGCCACACUGGAACUGAGACACGGCCCAGACUCCUACGGGAGGCAGCAGUAGGGAAUCUUCCGCAAUGGACGAAAGUCUGACGGAGCAACGCCGCGUGAGCGAAGAAGGCCUUCGGGUCGUAAAGCUCUGUUGUUAGGGAAGAACAAGUAACGCAGUAACUGGCGUUACCGUGACGGUACCUAAAGAGAAAGCCACGGCUAACUACGUG